AAUAAGCCUAAAUUGUCCUAAUCAGCCUCACCUGGGACCUGCUGCCACCUGGCCCUCCACCCUCUGGAUGUUACUGCAGAAGCUCUGCUUAAACUGUGAUGCAGUCUCUUCUUGCCUGAGUUAUGCUUUUGUUGUAUUUGUUUCCAGUUCUGCUCCAGAUUUGCUCUUUGAAUUAGCUGAAUUGACCUGGAUCUGUUUCAUUGCCUGGUCCAUCUGCAGGACUUCUUGCUACUGUUGUUCUGCUUUCCCUGCUCUGGUGCUAUGUGGCUGAGUUCUGCUAGUGAGGCUGUCGCUCAUCUUGCAUUGCAGCUGCCCUCUGCUCACCUUUCCUCUGGAAGCUGCCCUGUUCCUGCUGUUCCUUACUAGGUAGAAAGCUCCUGACUUACCCGAUUGUACACAUUUAAAAUGCUUUUCAAUUCUAAAGAGCUUACAUAAAAGGUAGCACAAAUUAAAUUGUUGUAACAGCUAGUGAGAUACAAGGCUAUCGUAUGAGCGAAGUUAGCUCUUCUGGAAAAACUAUGGCUGUUCUUUUUGACAAGAUUUUAAAGCUGUGGAUAGCUUAAAGACAGCUGCAAGUUUGAACAGGAGAAGUUGUAGAACAAUACUUUAUGUGCUGAUGCUUUUUUUAAAAGAAAAGUAAUUUGGAGCUAGGUACUUCCAGCUCAUUUUAAAUGCAGACACUGAGCUGCUUCAUCAUUAUUGUUUUCUGUUAUUGUUAUUAUUGAUUCUCUUAGCUCUGUAACUAGGCUAGGGCAGUUAUAUUAGGUGCAUGCUUUCUGAAUGAUAAUCAGCAUCAUGUAACUACUUUUCCACUGAUGGAAGAGAAAAAAAAUCUUCAAGAUUUGGGAACUACAAGUCUGGCUUUUCAGAGACUUAGGAGCAGCCAUGCUGCUGUAGAGGUUGUUGUUAUGUGCCUAGACACGUUGCAUGAAUGAAAAAAAGAAUGGGGCCCGCAACGUAAGGUGGAGCACUCCUCUGAAGUGUUUCCAUUUUAUCCACUUCUUGUUGUGCUUCCCCUACAGUGAGCCUGGCCUCAGUCAACUUGAAGGUGAAUGUACAUUUAAAAUGCACGAUUGAUUAUUUAAGGAAUCUGUGAGACUUCUGGAUUCUGUACACAGAAUGAGAAAGUGGAAAAGCAACUAUUGCAUAUACAUCCCAUUUUACCCUCCAGAGCUCUCCCAUUGAUUCAAGGAAAACUGAUUGAAGAAAAUGUACUCAUUAUGCAUGGACAAAGCUUGUAGAAAGAAAUAAUAGGCUCUUGAACAGCUGAGAAGGAAGUUCUAACCUCAGAGUACCACGAGAGGUUUUUUGAGGCAACCUCAUUAUCCUUCUAAGGCUGGAACUGCAACCAGGAGUGUUGAUCCUUUCAUCUUGCAACAUGUAAGCUAUCAAGAGCUCUGCAAAUACUUGAGACCAAACUGACCUUUGGCCUUGGAAAAGCCUGAGUUCUGGGCUUGCUUGAUUGUGGAGAGAUUGGAAAUGUAGGAGAAAAGGAAACACUGGUUUGAUAGGUCACUCUGUCAUUUUACCUUCUGAAGAUCACCUUGGAAAGAACAAUCAAGCAAACAACUGGUCUGGGAGAAGCAAGUGCUAAAGCUGUGUACUUUUUAAACUGUGAGGAGAGAAUUUAUGUGAACUUUUAUUUAUUACUUAUCACCUAAGUCUUGGAGGUGAUUUGAAGCAGAAGGAAGAGGAAGGAAAAAAAAUAAAGAGGGAUUAUUUGAAGGUGAUGGAGUUUCUGAACCUGAUUAGAGAGUGUUCUCUUGCUGCCAACUCAUACAGGAUCUUUGUCUCCUUCUUUGCUGUUUCAGAAGAUGCUGUUCCAGAGACAAGGAGGCAGUAGGAAAAAGGAAUCUUAUUGAUGAAGAUGUCCUUAGCAGAGAAGAGGCUGUAUUCCCCAAAGAAAGAGUACAACCUUAUUUUAAGAAGGAUGAUGAUUUUUCCUCUUGGACCAUGUAAGAAUAACUCAAAGAGAAAAGUGUUGGAGGGGAGAAUUUUGCAUCGUUUGCAUGUAUUUCUUUUUUGGGCUGCUGUAAUCUCUGUAAAUAUUUAUGAAAGGUCCUAGGUUGGGCAGUGAUAAAGGAAUGUGCUUUCCAGAGCAUCACUGCUUAUCUGAGCAAAAGUAUAUUUUUGUUUGCCAUGUAAUUUUUAGUGAUUAAAAUGUAAUUACUGACUAAAUAAGUAAGAGCAAAGCAGAAAUCCCAGUGGUACGAGCGGUUUCUGACUCCUGGAAGGGUGUUAAUCCAUUUGAAAGGU
rnacentral:lncRNA from 7 species